GCCUUUAAGCCAUUUCUCAGGCGUUCAGAUAAGCAGCAGCAUACUGAUGUGUAACAGUAAAUGAAGAUCGCACACAUGAAGUUUCACGUUUAAAUAAAAAGUCCUUUCGGGAUGAUUUCCUCUGGAUUGAUGUCGUCAUAACGUUAGUGAUGAAAAGUUGAUACGAGACAAUCCUGCUUUCACCACGUUCUACCAUUUGGGAGGAGUUAGUCUUUAGGAGGACAUAUAGUGUCCACUUCAUAUGUCCUUCAAUUUAUUACCUUUUCACAAUUACUGCAAGUGUCCCCUCCCCCCCCCCCCCCCUCACCUCAGCGUCCUCCAGCUCCACGUCUAAAAAGUCAAAGUCCUUGAAGACACCGAACUGCUGCUCGCUGCCCGUGUCUUCUCCCUGCAGCUCCUCCUCUCUGACCACCUCCUCCACCGUGGGGAUGAGACUGGUCUGCUGGUCCGCCGAGUCCAGCUCACUGGCACCAGACCGUUGGAGUUGGAGCCGGAGGAGGUGGAGGAGGUGCUCCUGGUGACGGCUAUGACCUGCGGCUUUCCGUUCCGCCCGGCCGCGGCGCGCUGGUCGCCGUACUUGUGCCCUAUGAUCGGCGUCUGUGGAGUCAAACUUGGGCGAGUUAGCGUCAGCGGGACACCGAGCGCAUCGCCAGUGGAGCCGCGGGACACCGACCUCCGAGAUGUCGAAGUGGAAGUCCAGCGUUUUGCCGGGCAGCUCCUUGGAAGAGUUGUUGAAGAUGCGCGUGAAGGCGAUUUCCGGGGAUCCGCAGGACUCGGUGCUGUAGGAGCGCUGCGCGUCGUCGGGGACGACGAGGCUGGCUGAGCGGGACACCACCAGCUUCAGGAUGUUCUGAGCCUCCUUCCAGUGGGGGCUCUGCGAGAGACAAACACAAUGAGAGCGCUGUGACGCGUCGGGCUGCGUACGCGUCCGCGGAGGAUUCCUGAAUGUGAGCGGGACAUAUUUUCCCCUCGGGAGGCUGAAACUGCAGCCGAGCCGCCGCCCCAUCGGAGGCCGCCGGUAUCCCGUAACAUUUCAGCGGCUCUGAAGGGGAGGCUCGCUGUGCUCGACCAUCAA
ensembl:lncRNA